UAGGGAAUCUUCCGCAAUGGACGAAAGUCUGACGGAGCAACGCCGCGUGAGUGAAGAAGGCCUUCGGGUCGUAAAACUCUGUUGCCGGGGAAGAACAAGUGCGUUCGAACAGGGCGGCGCCUUGACGGGUACCCGGCCAGAAAGCCACGGCUAACUACGUGCCAGCAAGCCGCGGUAAU
rnacentral:rRNA from 1 species